UACGUAGGAUGCAAGCGUUGUCCGGAAUUAUUGGGCGUAAAGAGCGAGCAGGCGGUUUGGAAGUUGGACGUGAAAUUUUAGGGCUUAACCCUAAAGGUCGUCCAAAACUCCCAGACUAGAGUGCAGGAGGAGGAAAGCGGAAUUCCCGGUGUAGUGGUGAAAUGCGUAGAUAUCGGGAAGGAACACCAGAGGCGAAGGCGGCUUUCUGGCCUGUAACUGACGCUGAGGAGCGAAAGCGUGG
rnacentral:rRNA from 1 species